AUGAACGGCAGAGGGGGCGUGGACGCGGCCAAGAUCAGCCUGCGGCUACAGUACUACGUGCUGCUGGCGGGGGUGGGCGCGGUGCUGCUCGUCGCCUGCCUCAAGUACAUGCCGGCGACGGCGGUGGUGGCGGCCGGCUACGGGUCCUGGGGGAGCGGCCUGGCCGUCGCCACCCGCGCCGCGGAGCCGGAGCCUGCCACCAAGAGGUCCCCCGUGGUGAUCUUCAACUUCGGGGACCCCAACUCCGACACGGGUGGCAUGGCGGCGGCCAGCAGCCUCAACAUUGCGCUGCCAGAGAAAACAAACUAA
rnacentral:rRNA from 1 species